GUCCUCAGGAGCCUCUAAAGAACAGUGUGCCUUCCAUCUCUGCUUUUCCUUAGCUUUUUUUUUUUUUUUUAAUAACAAUAAGCAUUGUCAUAAAUUGAUGGUAAUUAAACAUUCACUAUCUCAACAAGUGUUUGUGAGUCAGGAGCUUAGGAGUAGAUGAGCUGUGUGAUUCUGGCAUGGAAUCUUCUCAUGAGGUCAGACCAAAGUAUAGUCAUCUGAAGGUUUGAGUGGGGGCUGGAGAAUCCACUUCCAAGAUAACUCCCUCACUCACAUGGCUGGUGGAUAACAUUAGGACGACCCUGGAACCACAAGAUGGCAUAACUACAAGACAGAAGCAAUUUGGUUUCCUGAGUUAUGGCCUGGAGCAGAGCCAUCCAGGAGAGCUGCUCAGCAAGCAUACCAACAUUGGAAUUUGUUGGAACAUCCACUAGAUGAAUAGCUCCACGCUUGGCACAGAGGACAACAGUGGAGAACAAGAGUCAGCUAUGCUCCUCUCAUGGAACUAGUGCCACUCGCUUGUGGCAAGCGAUUCCAGUUUUCCUUUUAAAGUGGUGACAUCAAGUUCACUAUCAAAUACGCUUAUUGAAGUAAGAAGCAACAGUCAAUUGAAAGAAAAACGUCAGACAGAUAAUUGCCGAUGUGGCACGUGCCUAUGACAAACUUCGCAGGGGUCGUGGUGCUGUGGUGACAGGUCUGGAAAAUGCUGGAAGAUGAGGGAGUCACUCAAAUCAGGGAGCCGAGGCUGGGUAUGUCAGUGCCAGUCCUCCUCAUUAGCACCUAAGACAUGUUCUCUUUUGAGCUUGUGUCAUCGCUUGCCAAAAUGGGGAGAGGAAUUCCUACCACAUACAGGCUUGUUUUAAGGAUUCGAGGAGGUAACUUGAUGUACGUGAGUGUGAUUUGCACGCAAUGACUCUUAAGUAUUAAAUGAAAUGAAUGGGUGUGCGUCUGCGCUCUACAGGCAAAGUGACUGCGUGGGGUGAGCAAGUGUCUCACUCCCUGGGGGCUCCCAGUCUCUGGUGGGGAUGAAGUCUGGGCGAGUCAUGUAACCCCUCUUGCCUCAGUCUUUUCCUUGGAAACUAGGGGAUUAUCCCGAGAGGAUGUGUACAGUUCUAGAACACAGCCUGGCACCUGGCAAUGCUAGGUAAGUGUGAGCUCUCAGCAUCCUACCGUGCCCUCUGCGGUAACUGGAGCCCUAGGUGGGGGUGCUCUCUGGAAGUGUGAAUCGGGAGGCACGGGCCAAACAAACAAGCCGUGCUUUUUGGUAUGGAAUAGUCAAAAUAUUCAAAUGUCCUUCCACUCCCCACCCCACUUCCCCUGCACCUUUGAAGCCCACUAUUUCUACCCCCUCAACAGUUCCCAUUUGGCUUCUGUCUUCCCGCAGUAAUGCUUGCUGUGGACUGGGCUGUGCCUCCCAAGCCCACCCCAACCCAAAGUCAUAUGCUGAAUCCUUACCCCUUGUUGUGAUAGUUUUACAGAUGGGGUGUUUGGGAGGUCACUGGGAGUAGAUGAAGCCAAGAGGGUGGGGCCUCUGCGCUGGGAUUGGUGGCUUCCCAAAGGAAGGACAGAUAGUGAGAGAGACAGAAACAGAGACAGGGAGACAGAGACAGAUAGAGAGCGGGAGCACUGCCCUCCUCUGGUCGUAGGAAGACAGUGAGAAGGUGGCCGCCUGCAAGCCAGGAGAAAGCCCUCCCUGCAAGGGCCUUGAACUGUGGAAAGUUGAGCCAGGCAAAAGGACCCACCAUGACCACCAGGCUAAAUGCAAACAGGCUCAUGAAGCCAUAGGCCCUAACCGACCGAUGGGCUACUUACAGCCAACCUAAGAUUACCAAAGACGGGGGAUCCCACCUGCCCCAUACCCCUUCCCUCUGCCUCGUAAGUGUGGCUCCUCGCCACGGCCUCACGGCAGGCAGGCUCUCCUCUGCUGUCCUGCCCGCUGCUCCCUUGCAGUGUAUUCAAUAAACUCUUGCCUCUUGUUCUGCCUCGGGUGAAGUCUUCCCUGGCUUGCGCCACCAGCCCCUACUCAUCAGGACAUCCGCACCCUCACGGAGAACCAAAUGGGCUGGCACCCUCCCUGCUCUUGGACUUCCUAGGCUCCAGAAUGGUGAGAAAUAAAUGUCUCUGGUUUCAGCCACCCUGUCUAUGGUGUUUUGUUAUAGCAGCCCAAGCUAAGAUCAUGCUCACUCUGCUUAGAACACCUCCCAAAAAUAAAACUAUAUAUAUUGAUUAUUUACAACAUGCUGCUCAUUUUACAUGUGGCAGUUUAUUUG